rnacentral:ncRNA from 1 species
UAAUUGAAGAGUUUGAUCAUGGCUCAGAUUGAACGCUGGCGGCAGGCCUAACACAUGCAAGUCGAGCGGAAACACAAGGGAGCUUGCUCCUGAGGUGUCGAGCGGCGGACGGGUGAGUAAUGCUUGGGAAACUGCCCAGUCGUGGGGGACAACCAUUGGAAACGAUGGCUAAUACCGCAUACGCCCUACGGGGGAAAGAAGGGGACCUUCGGGCCUUUCGCGAUUGGAUGUGCCCAAGUGGGAUUAGCUAGUUGGUGAGGUAAUGGCUCACCAAGGCGACGAUCCCUAGCUGGUUUGAGAGGAUGAUCAGCCACACUGGAACUGAGACACGGUCCAGACUCCUACGGGAGGCAGCAGUGGGGAAUAUUGCACAAUGGAGGAAACUCUGAUGCAGCCAUGCCGCGUGUAUGAAGAAGGCCUUCGGGUUGUAAAGUACUUUCAGCGAGGAGGAAAGGGAGUAGGUUAAUAACCUGCUUCUGUGACGUUACUCGCAGAAGAAGGACCGGCUAACUCCGUGCCAGCAGCCGCGGUAAUACGGAGGAUCCAAGCGUUAAUCGGAAUUACUGG